CUCUCUCUCCCCUCUCCCUGAAAACACACCCGCCGCCGCCUCUCUCCCUCUCUCCCCGAUCCAGAAUCUCGCCGCCCAGUCGCAACGCUCACCAUCCCCCCAACCUCGCCGCCGACCAACUCCUCUCCCCCAACCCCGCCGCCGGCCUUCUCUUACCCUAGCGCUGCCGCUCCAAACCCUCACCUUGGGAAGGGAAGGCCCCAGAUCCAAGCCAGCAUCUUCUCUCCCAAGGGAAGGGAGGGAAGGGAACGCCGCAGAUCGAGAUCCACAUCGGAAUCGGCGCGCCGUCAUCGACCUGGCCCGUGACGUACCAAGGUCCUCCAUGGAGAUCCGACCCAGCAAUAGCCCGUGUCCACCAAGGUCCUCCAUGGCGUCCCACGCCGGCGUGCAGCACCUCCGCCAGAUCCGCCUCGAGCGCUCACCCACAACCUCUCCCCGUGGCUAGGGUUACGGGGGCCGCGGCGGCUCCAAUUCCGGUGCCUCUGCUUCGUCCUCUCCCUCCCUCCCACAUGCAUCUCCACCUUAUGGACGGUGCUCCUGCGCUCGAUCGCUACGGGAUUGACGUGCGCGGUGCCUCCCUCGGGCAGCCUCCUCCACUGCGUGCGUGAUGGCGGUGGAUGGCCGUCCCGCAACCGCGGUGGCGCCUGUCCAUGGCGUCGACUACACAAAACUCCCAUGGGGAAGUUUUCAUCCUUAUAGCAGAGAAGAAGGGCUUCACUUCAUCGUACCAGCCAGGAAAGGUGCAUGGUGGUUGCAAGCCAUGGAGGGGAGGCGGUCCUGUUCAACAUCGGCUAAUUGAACGCAAAUCAUGCGGCUUGUUGCUUGCCUAAUUGAACACCUGCUGCUGCUACUGCGACACCAUGGCUGGGGUGUCCAGUGGGUCGCGCCUACUUACCUGGCAGCAGUGGCGGCGGCUACAAGUUUUCUCCACUACUGCAACUCAUCUCCAAGUCCUACAGCCUGGAUCAUCUCCUUCACCAGCGCCUACAUUGGGUCUGAAGUCUGAACCUCUCUUCUGUACUCCAUGUUUACUGAAUUGCUCAAAAGUCUCCAUAGUGUGUGUGUGCAUGUGUGUGUGUGUGUUAGAGUGUAGGAGUGCAAAUGGGCACCCUGUAUGGUAUUCUGUGGCCCUCUUUAGUUCAACUAAAUGAACUGAAUUUUUAGAAGUCACAUAACAUUUGAAAAUUUAGUUUAUUUGGUUAGAUGAUCUUUGUUCAUAACACAGGCUUAUUUUAGCUCUUUUAGUUCAUUUUUUACUAUUAUCACUUGAAUGUCUUUGUUAUAAUAAAGCACAACGGUUAUGUAUAUAUGUGCAUAUAGUGUUAUCUGCAGCUAGUUGUAUAUGUGGUGCAGUUGUGCAGAGCUACUAGUCGUGCUUGGUACUUUAGUAUUUUGCUUUCCUUUGUACUGGGUAUAUUAUUUUCUGCUACUAAUCGAUGAACGCAAUAAAUAAAGAGAACCAAACUGCUUCUCUUGAUUUCUGCUACAUCGUUUCUACUUGUUUGUGUGUAAAACCAUUCUUAAGCCUGAAUGGUACUUUUCUUGUUUUUGUCUAUUUUGUUCCUAUGAAAAGUCUGCUCUCUUUAGCUCAUGCUCGUUACCUCCUCCCCUCAUGUUUCACGGGAAGAUGAUAAACCUUUUUAAGAUCAAGGGGCAGAAGAAGGAAGAGGUGGCCAACUCAAAUGUGGGGCCUCCUGUUAAGAAGCAAAGUCCAGGGCGACGGCCGAAGGCAUGAUGAUAGUUCUAUUGUUGUCCUAGUGUAGCGAAGGUGGCCUAGUCGACUAUGGUCACGUAGUUAGUCAUGCAUACAGUUUCAUCUGACUGGAGCAGGAGCCCAGUUUGUGUUGUCCCUAUAUCUGUGUGACUGAUUGUAUUUAUAUCUAUGUUAUUACACUAUAGUAGAGCUUGUAACUGUGUCAUGACAGAAGGAGCCCAGUAUAUCUGUAUGACUGUGAUUGAUUUUCGCAGUUGUUAUUUGAAAUAUUACUUGUGUUUUAUGU